GCCUCUGAGAGCAAAUGGUGUGGAGAACUCAGUGCCACAGCCUGGGCCGGCUGUAGUGGGAAGUUCUGCAAAGCCCGGCGCACCUGGCGAGAAGCCUGGCGUGGUGACGGGCGGCCUGGGAGGGCCCGGGAGGAGCGAGUGUGGCCCCUGCUGAGCGGCACCGAGGGCUUUCCUCUGGGACCAACCCCAGCGCAGCGAGGCAGCCCGGGGAACCAGAAGGUUGGCCCCUCUUGGCAGCGCCGGGCCUCGUGCUCCCCUCUGCCCCGUCGUCAGGACACCUGGAGGGACUGCCAGUGCCCAUCUGUCCAGCCGUGUAUGCAUGUGCCGAGGAAAUCCCUAUAAAAACAACCACAAAAAAAAUGCUUCAAUCAAACGCACACAGCUCAAUCACACUGGAAAUGUCUGUCCUUGUACCUGAGCCUGCUCCCCCCACCCAGCAGCAAGAGUUCCUCUGCCCUGGGGGUUGGUCUCGCUUGCGUUCUGCCUCCCCUCCCAGUUCCACAAGUGGGUUUUGCACCGGGGCCCUAGCCUUCUGUGCGUUGUCCAGCAGGUUGCAGCUUCUCCUGCAGGCAUUCACGCUACAGACAUCGCUGAGAACCUGCUGGAUGCCAGGCAGUGCGCCGGGCGCUGGGAAAUACAGCUGUGAACAAGACAGGCUUGGGUCCUACUCUUGGAGCACCAACCACGGGACCCAUUCAAGUUAGUGGGUGACUGUUUUGAGACCAGAAGUUUUCGUAGUUGCUUCUGAGCCUUUUGAGCCUGGAGUGAUUGCUCUUAUAUAAGACCACUAAGGAGUGAGGAUGCCCACCUGUCCCCCACCAAAGAGGCCGGUGGUGGGCAGUGAGAACCCCCCAGUCGCUGCGUUCAUCCGGAGCCCCCUUCCUGCCCCCAGGGGAGGCACAGACUGUGUGCAGCCUCAGAGCAUCCCUGCCUCCAGCCCAGCGAUUCUCUGCCAAAGCUUGUGGAGGAGGGGAGAGCCCUCCCCCCACUUCCAUUGGUCUCCCCAGUGCCCUGGCCUUCCUAUUUAUUUUCCUGCUGUAUCGCUUCUUUCCUUGCGUUAAAGGAGAUCUUCCCCUAACCCUCUGGGCCAAUUUACUGGCUACUGAGUAACUUCCCUCGAAUACCAAUUGUGUCAUUAGGGGGACCUUCUUUCCCCACCCCUGCCGACGCCCCAUCUGUCCGCCCUGCGGCAGAACUUGGCGGUUUAGAGGAGGUGACGGAUCGCAGACUCCUCUCCCCCCGCCGCAGCCAGCCUCUGGGAUCUGCCAACACUCCUUGACCCAGGGACUCCCAAGCCACUAGCCCACUCCCCCGGUGGCCCUGCUGUCCUCACCACACACUCCUCCUUCUCCACCUCCGGGGAAGACUGAGCAGUUUUGGGGGGAAGCUCCCAACCCCACCGCUACCACUCUUAACCCAAGAGUUAGGAGUGAGAGAGUUGGGAAGAAACUAAAGCCGUGGUUUUGGCCCCCUGAGGCUAACCCUGAUCCAUAGGGCUACCUGCACCUCUGGAUUCUGGAUUCACAGACCAAGUCCAAGCCCGUUCUUAGGUCGCCGUCAAGGCCCCCGAACGGCAUUCUCGGUACUUCUGUUUGUUUUUGUACAUUUUAUUAGAAUGGACUGUAAAAUAGCCACUUAGACACUUUACCUCUUCAGUAUGCAAAUGUAAAUAAGUUGUAAUAUAGGAAAUCUUUUGUUUUAAUAUAAGAAUGAGCCUGUCCAAUUUCUGCUGUACAUUAUUAAAGUUUUAUUCACAGA